CACAGAUUCUGGAGCCGUGGAUCUCGCCUCCGCUCUCAGUACAAACCACACGGUGACGGAGCUGUACCUGGGUGAGAAUAAACUUGGAGAUUCCGGAGUGAAACUGGUGUCUGAAGCUCUGAGGAACCCGGACUGUAAAAUACAGAUACUGCGGCUGAACGGUGUCGGACUCACAGAUUCUGGAGCCGAGGAUCUCGUCUCCGCUCUCAGUACAAAGCCCUCACUGACGGAGCUGGACCUGACACACAACUCCCUCACAGACCGAUGUGUCCCCGCUCUCCGCAACCUCAUACUGACCCUCCCGAGACUGGAGUGGAUCGGGCUGGUGAGGAAUAAGUUCAGUCCGACCGGGAAGAAGGAACUGAGGUCGCUGAAGACAUGCAGACCCGGACUGAAAGUGACCGCGUGAACAUCUCUGGGUGUAAACGUCACUGCCCUGGGGACCGGAAUAUUGUUGCUGUCAGGCCACGUGCCGGAUCUACCCACACACUGCACGGAGGGAGGGAGACCCGGCUGCCA